rnacentral:misc_RNA from 1 species
AAGUAUCGCAUUUUGCUACGUUCUUCAUCGAUGCGUGAGCCGAGAUAUCCGUUGCCGAGAGUCAUUAGUGUUUUAAAGAAGGCUACCACCUGUAUGCACACCGUAAAACGGGGCAAAUCAAGUAAAUAGCAUCUUUUAUUUAAUUUUCCUUGGCACAUGCCGUGCCGGGGUUUGUUAUAGUCCGAUGGGACAUCCAUGGUACCACAAAAGAGAUACCUUGAAAACACACCGGAUGGCGUUGCUGAUCUGAACAUAAAGCCCCAUUCUAUCAAACAGGCACC